UUUAGUGCCAGUUCUGCCAAUGCUAAACAGAGGUAUAUCUGAUUAUACCAUGGCUUCUAAUGGAAAAGACACAACUAUGGCAUCCCCAGAGCAUGGAGAGGAAGAGCAACAGAAUGUCUUGAGGAGGGUGGCCAGUCUACCUUUAGUCAACUCUGCCUGUGAUCUGGCUGCCACUGCCUAUGCUUCCACCAAGAAGAGCCAUCCCUAUGUGAGGUCCAUCUGUGACAUGGCAGAGAAGGGAGUGACCUCCAUAACCAGUGCUGCAGUUAGCAGUGCACAGCCAGUUGUAACUAAACUUGAACCUGAGGGGACAACAGAGGAGGAGUGUGUUUCUGAAAUACCUGACAAAGUGGAGGGGAAUCUACCAGUCCUUCAACAGACUGCUGAUGAGGCUACAUCUGAGACACUGGAGUUGGCCUCUGUCAGUCUGGAAGAGGUCAAGGAGACCAUGAUCAGAGUGGUAGAUCGGACCAAAGAGGCUGUGCAGGACAGUAUGAAGACCACCAAAUCAGUGGUAACUGACAGCAUGAGCACAGUUGUGGAAUCAAGAAUGGGCCAAUUGGCCAUAAGUGGAAUGGAAGCAGUGCUGGAGAAAUCUGAAGAGCUCUUGGAUCACUAUCUUCCCAUGACAGAUGCUGAACUAGCUGAACUUGCUGAAUCUGUGGAAGGGGCUGAAGUGUCUUCAGCACAACCACAAGAGCAUCGGAGUUACUUUGUGCGUUUAGGCUCCCUGUCAACCAAACUUCGCCAACGUGCUUACCGCUACUCCCUAAACAAGAUGAGACACACCAGUCAAAGCAUCAGAGAGGCUCUUUCCCAGCUUCAUGAAACCAUGGGACUGAUUGAAUACCUUAAGCGAGGUGUUUCUCUCCAAGAAGUCCAGGAGAAGUUCCAUCACAUAUGGCUGAGCUGGAAUAGAGAGCAGCCAGAAAGCAGUGAAAUCAAGGAUUUGGGAAAACCAGAGAUGGAGUCUGAGACCCUGGCUAUGUCCCGCAGCACUAUCCAGCAGCUGCAGGAUGCCUGCCACAUGCUAGUAUCCAGCAUUCAAGGUCUCCCCACCAACUUUCAGGAUAAGGUGAAACAGAUGUAUCGCAACAUGGAAGAGCUUCAUGCAUCCUUCUCCACUGCCCAUUCCUUCCAGGAUCUCUCCAGCAGCCUCCUAACCCAGAGCCAGGAGAUGGUGACCAAGGCCCAGGAAUAUGUAGAUGAGCUGAUGGCAUACGUGAUGGAGACUGCUCCUCUGUCUUGGGUUGUGGGACCCUUCAUCCCAUUGGGUCUCCAAGAUUUUGGAGUAACUUUUUGUGGUGAGACUGACUUUGAGGGUUAUGUAUAUCUGUGUUCUGGGGUGCUCCUUAUAUUAUUGUUCUUGAAGGGGUCAGUUUUUCAUCUGAUUAGAACACAUCUUCAAAAACCAAAUAAGAACUCAAAGCAGGAUGUAUUCAGCAAGGUCCUCAGUCAGCUCUUAGUCCAUGCUGACCAUGGCCUGGGUUCCAUGCUUCCACCUCUGAAAAGGAGCACUACUGAAACAUCACAUUUCCUCGUGAUCCUUCCAUCAGUGAUAAUAUCCCCAGUUAUGACUACACUUGAACCUCAAGGGGAGCAUGAAGGAAAUAUAAUUCCUGUAUUUGGCCUGGAGGACAGAGAGAAAUCAGAAGAUGCUGCUUGUAACAGGUUUGCUGCAGGACCAAGUCAUUGUGAUGUACCUACUGGGAAGAGCAACCUCAAAGAAGGAGAUGACCCCCCAGCGGCGGCACCAGGGGGGCAAGCUUCUCCAAGCCAUCAAGCUCAGGAGGAGACAACAAAACUUCAGUUUACAGAAAGUGAGAGAGUCAUGUCUGCAACAAGUAAGAGAGUACUGGAGUUCUUAGAAACCAGCCAUCGGGAAGACUCUGAGGCCAUACAGAGCAUGGAAACCCAACUGAGGGGCAUGGGGGUAGCCUCAGUUAUCAUCCAUAAACAGCUGGAAGCAAUAGUUAAUCUCCUCAGCCAGCCUCCAAGGCUUGUCCCUGCACAGCCAGAUAGCUCCUUCUCUGCCACACCCUGUGUAGAAAAGGUAGAUGUGAUCCAGAGAGUGAGUUGCUCUUUGGAAUCAUAAGAGAUGGCUCCUGCCUGGUGUAGCUCUCGCUUGCAGAGAGUGGCAAUGGAACAAGCCUUGUUAUCAGUCAUCAUGGCUAGGGAGGGAAGAAGAGAGCAUGUGGGGCUUAAUCUAAAUAUGGUAUCUUGUAUCUCUUAUAAUGCUGUAAAUGUUUUAUUGGUCAAGAUUUUAAAGAAUAACAAUCCUAUGGGGUAGUACUAAAUAACACAUGAGGGAAAGCAGCAGAUGAGGCAUUGUUUGACUAGGAUUUUUGAAUCUCCACCUGUUGUUGUCUCUCUAUUUGAUACAAAAUGUGUGUGUGUGUGGUUUUCUUUUUCUGGAGAUAUUUGAAAAUGUCUCCUAACAAUUAAACUUUGCUAUUGAUAUGAGGCUGUGCAUGUGGCUGGUUCAGUUAUCCUUAAGUUCUCUUUGGAUAAGUCUGUGCCAGGUUGAUUUGUCAUCUUGGUCUGAUGACUAUAGGUCACUUUUCCUCUUGGGUGUAUGGUUUCACUGUGAUUUGUCAGCAAGAGAGGAUGAUCCACCAUUUGCAGUAACUGUACACGAUAUGUCAAUGGUACCUUUCUCCUGAUUGCCUUUUAGGUGCCUGAAUCUCCAUUUUGAUAGAGGGAAAUACGCUUUCUGAAUCUUGCUUGACCACAGAAGGUACGCUACACACGAUGUGACAGGAGUGCCUGUGUGACUCAUGUCUGUAGAGAAACAUUAAUAAAGACUUCAUAGGGCUGUGUCUCAUAAAACAAGUGUUUCCAAGUCCACCAUUGGAGGAGCUCUCUCCUACAGAUGAUCAUGUAACAUGUGAAAUGUUACAAUAUAGGAUUAAACCUACAGUUUUUGCAGAAAGGCAUGGCAUGGCUUCUGGUCAGCGGCAGCAAGAUUAUGACAGUUACUGGAUGUGUUUAGGCUCCAUGAUGACCAAAUUCCAGCAGUGUGCUUACCAUCAUUCCCAGAGCAAGGUCAGGGAUGCAGGCCAAAGCAUCUGGGAGGCUCUUCAAACUAGUUCCCUGAUGUUUGCAAGGCAGAGCAAUAAAAGUGGUGUGGAGUACCAACUGUCAGAGUUCCUUUCAACCGUGGUGGCAGACGGAACGGGAACCUCACCUGGUCCAUGGACCCAGUUUUGUCAGAAUGUAUCAUCCACUACCGCCUUCAUCAGGAUUAGUGUUAAUUAGCUUCUUCAGUUAGACAAUUUUUACUUAUCUUUUGCAGUUGCAGAAAUAUUGCAUCAUUGCCUUGAUUCCUGCAGUCACCCAACCCCUGAAGACCAUCUACCAGAUCCUACUGGUUAUUAUUGAACACUUUCUUCUCAACUUUCAGGACAAGAUGCAACAAGUUUCCCAUACCACAGAAGUACUCCAUGCUUCAGUCUCCACUCUUGAUUCCUUCCAAGAUCUGUCUAGACAAAUCCUCUCCCAAAUAUGGGAGAAAGUGACCAAGGAGGAGGAACAUAUAUGUGAAUGAGCUGCUGGAGUAUGUGGUGUACAGUACACCUCUCUGUUGGUUUGUGGGACCCUUCAAUGCUUUAAGAGGUAGAACAUAAACAGACUCCACAGAAACUGCAGAAUAUGGAUAAGAAGGCACACAUAACAAGUGACACUGCAGAAGUUUGGAAACUGUUACAGGACAGGGUGGUCUUGGUGGAACUAAUUUAUUUGUAGAACUGUCAAGUUUGUCAAAUGAAAGCUUUGAUCUUUGUGAACUCAGCUCUGAGAUUGAGCUGAGUCUAAGAACAGCUUGGAAGUAAGUAAAUAAAUCGGGUUCUUUGAAA